CUUUUCUUCAUGGCCGUAUGUAGCAAGGGAACACCAUGGCUAGGGUUUGUUCAUCUUCCAAGCUUCAUGAUCAAGAAAGAAGUGGAAUCGACCUUGACCGGAGAAAAGGAAAGAUUAAAGACUAAAUUGCUAAAUUUUUAUAUUAUUGCAUCAAAGUAAGUUACGUGUAAAUAAUAGUUAUAUUUUUAUAAAUUGUGAAUUAUAUUUGAUAUGUGAAUUAAUAUUGAAUGUGGAAGGAAAAUUGUUCAUGAA